AUAAAAAUAAAACGUAACCCGUACAGAAAUUGUAGCAAUCAAAUUAUCAAAUCUCUGUCUUGCAGAACCCAGUGCACAUUUAAAAAAAAUCUAUUUCAUUUUGGCUGAUUGAUAAUUCAUUCAACUGUACAUAAUUAUUAUGUUAGUUAAUUUAAUUUUUAAAAAUAUAUUUUGUGUAUUGUAUUGCAGGAAGUAGUUAUGAAUAUAUUUAUAUAUAUUAAUACUCAAUUUUUAAAAUGCUAGUUUUAAUUUUUUCUUAUACUACAUUGUCUUUUUAUAGGUUUCUUUUUCUUUUUUUUUUGGUUAUUAUCAAGAAAGACUUAGAGUCAGUCACAGUCAACUGCUUCCUAUUUCCCAGUUGCUGCUCUAUAUUUGGCAGUAGAUUAUUUGAAUAGCACAUAUUGGGAUUUACUUUUUUCUAAAACAAACAUUUCUUUCUUUUUUCUUUUUUGAGAUAUUGCAUAUGGUCACAUAGGAAGCUAUUCCAAAUAUUUACUCUCUAAAAAUAUUCCUGUCAUUUCUAAAAAAUAUCCAUCCAUUUCAGUGCUAUCUGCUAAUAAAUUUAGCAAAUACCAAAUAGCAUAAACGAGAUUGAAAAUAUCC